rnacentral:rRNA from 1 species
UACGUAGGGUGCAAGCGUUGUCCGGAAUUAUUGGGCGUAAAGAGCUCGUAGGCGGUCUGUCGCGUCUGCUGUGAAAACUCAGGGCUUAACCCUGAGCUUGCAGUGGGUACGGGCAGACUAGAGUGCGGUAGGGGAGACUGGAAUUCCUGGUGUAGCGGUGAAAUGCGCAGAUAUCGAGGAGGAACACCGGUGGCGAAGGCGGGUCUCUGGGCCGAUAUUGACGCUGGAGGAGCGAAAGCGUGGGGAGCGAACAGG